CGGGGUGAGUAAUGUCUGGGAAACUGCCUGAUGGAGGGGGGUAACUACUGGAGACGGUAGCUAAUACCGCAUAACGUCGCAAGACCAAAGAGGGGGACCUUCGGGCCUCUUGCCAUCGGAUGUGCCCAGAUGGGAUUAGCUAGUAGGUGGGGUAACGGCUCACCUAGGCGACGAUCCCUAGCUGGUCUGAGAGGAUGACCAGCCACACUGGAACUGAGACACGGUCCAG
rnacentral:rRNA from 1 species